GGGGGGGGGGGUGAGGCGGGCAAUCAUUAACCGCCUUUUUCAAGCGUGUUUCGAGAUAGCAUGGUAUCCUUCCAAGGAACUUUAUUGCACUGCUGUGGAGUAACUAAUUCAAAAAUAUCCGCACUUGCGUGACAAUGUGAAGAAAGGCAGUGGCAUGGAAUCAUGGAAAGUAGCCCUGCAGAAUAAGUUCAAAAACAACAGGAAGUAGGCGGUGAACGUGUCCAGAGAAAUGCAAGCCGUUCGGGCCCAAAGCUACCGCAAGAGUCCCAGGGAGCCAGUGGUAGA